AGAGAGGUGGCCGAGUGGCUGAAGGCGCACGCUUGGAAAGCGUGUAUAUGGCAACAUAUCGUGGGUUCGAAUCCCAUCCUCUCUG
rnacentral:tRNA from 1 species